rnacentral:rRNA from 1 species
AUUGAACGCUGGCGGAAUGCUUUACACAUGCAAGUCGAACGGUAACAGGUUAAGCUGACGAGUGGCGAACGGGUGAGUAAUAUAUCGGAGCGUGCCCAGUCGUGGGGGAUAACGUAGCGAAAGCUACGCUAAUACCGCAUACGAUCUACGGAUGAAAGCGGGGGAUCGCAAGACCUCUCGCGAUUGGAGCGGCCGAUAUCAGAUUAGGUUGUUGGUGAGGUAAAAGCUCACCAAGCCUGCGAUCUGUAGCUGGUCUGAGAGGACGACCAGCCACACUGGAACUGAGACACGGUCCAGACUCCUACGGGAGGCAGCAGUGGGGAAUUUUGGACAAUGGACGCAAGUCUGAUCCAGCAAUGCCGCGUGCAGGACGAAGGCCUUCGGGUUGUAAACUGCUUUUGUACGGAACGAAACGGUGAGCUCUAAUACAGUUUGCUAAUGACGGUACCGUAAGAAUAAGCACCGGCUAACUACGUGCCAGCAGCCGCCGUAA